AGUGAACGCUGGCGGUAGGCCUAACACAUGCAAGUCGAACGGCAGCACAGUAAGAGCUUGCUCUUACGGGUGGCGAGUGGCGGACGGGUGAGGAAUACAUCGGAAUCUACUUUUUCGUGGGGGAUAACGUAGGGAAACUUACGCUAAUACCGCAUACGACCUACGGGUGAAAGCAGGGGAUCUUCGGGCCUUUCGCGAUUGAAUGAGCCGAUGUCGGAUUAGCUAGUUGGCGGGGUAAAGGCCCACCAAGGCGACGAUCCGUAGCUGGUCUGAGAGGAUGAUCAGCCACACUGGAACUGAGACACGGUCCAGACUCCUACGGGAGGCAGCAGUGGGGAAUAUUGGACAAUGGGCGCAAGCCUGAUCCAGCCAUACCGCGUGGGUGAAGAAGGCCUUCGGGUUGUAAAGCCCUUUUGUUGGGAAAGAAAAGCAGCAGGUUAAUACCCCGCUGUUCUGACGGUACCCAAAGAAUAAGCACCGGCUAACUUCGUG
rnacentral:rRNA from 1 species